UUUUCGACCUUGUUUCUUUUGUCAAGAGAAGAAUUUUACAUUUUGGGCUUAAACCAUUAUCCUUUCCUAACCCAAUUUUCUUUAUUACUUAAAGAGGAAACUUUAUUUUAAGCCCAAAUCAUCUUUUUAUUUCUCUUCAUGAGCCCACUUUAAAUUUGCAGCCCAAUCACUAUUGAAUGCCACUUUUCACUCGUCAACUAUUCUGUUCCACAAAAUCCGGAAAAAAUCAGUUUCUAUCUCCCCCCAUGAUCUCAUGAAAUCGGUUUAUACCUAUACAUAUCUCUCCAUGACUCCACAUUUUAUCAGAUCAAUCGAUUCCAGAAAAAAAAUCAGAGAGCUAGAAAUUAGAGAAAGAGAUGGCAGGCGCUGUGUUUUGAGAGAGAUUGGAUGGAGGGAGAAGAGAUGACGACGGAGUGGUCCACGGGCUCGGCGACGGCGGAUAACAGCCGGUGAAUACGGAGCCGAAGGCUGUCCGGUUCGGCAACAGCUGUCGCGACUCACGGCGGUGCUGCGAUGCGAGAGAACUGAGAGAGAAGCCACUGCAGUUUCUUCCUUCCAACGAGUUUGAAAUCUGAGAGGAUCGUGAUUUCAAUUUCCAUGUUUGUUGACAAAUUCUUUUAUGCGAAGGUGAUUCCUUGCAAGCGAGAUGUGAUAUCAAGGGAAGGAAAAUAAUUUCGAAUUAAGGCCUUAAGCAAACGAGGUUGAGCGUGACGGGUGCGGUGGGUAUUGAGCAAGACCGUUG